CCGCGCGGCCGCGGGAAGCUGUUGGCCACGGAGGGCGGAGGGGCUGCGCCUGGAGGCGCUGGACGCGGAGUUGCUGUGGAGAGUUGCUACCUCUUUGGAAAUGUACAGCUUCAGAAAUGACAAUGGGUGACACCACAGCUACGUUGGCACAUGGACAGCCUUGGAGAUGAGGACAGUGAAUGUCCACCAGCAUUUCAUCCUCCCGGAAGAGAUGUGUGGUCAGCACUGCUUUGUUCCCCUAUUGUUGCUUCUUGCGACUCGUCUUCCCAUUUAUUCAGUUCCUCGUGAUCUUAUUAUAUAACCUCUUGCUGAAGUAUGAUUUUCAAAAAGGAAGCUGCCUUGUUGUAUGCAGCUCUAAGGAGGAACCCAGCUGGCAGAAAACCGAAGCCACUGGCCAACAGCCAACUAGGAACUGUGUCCUGGCAGUAACCAAGUUUUGGCUCUUACCCAACCACAGAUUUUUUUAAAAAAAUGUUUGGAUGAAGAAUGCUUUUCAUUCCAUGGCUGAAGGAGUGACUGGAAGUAUCCAAC